rnacentral:rRNA from 1 species
UACGUAGGGUGCGAGCGUUGUCCGGAAUCAUUGGGCGUAAAGCGCGCGUAGGUGGCCAUGUAAGUCCGCUGUGAAAGUCAAAGGCUCAACCUUUGAAAGCCGGUGGAUACUGGAUGGCUAGAGUACGGAAGAGGCGAGUGGAAUUCCUGGUGUAGCGGUGGAAAUGCGCAGAUAUCAGGAGGAACACCAAUAGCGAAGGCAGCUCGCUGGGACGGUACUGACGCUGAGACGCGAAAGCGUGGGGAGCAAACAGG